rnacentral:rRNA from 1 species
GACGAACGCUGGCGGCGUGCUUAACACAUGCAAGUCGAACGGAAAGGCCCUGCUUUUGUGGGGUACUCGAGUGGCGAACGGGUGAGUAACACGUGGGUAACCUGCCCUUGACUUUGGGAUAAGCCUGGGAAACUGGGGCUAAUACCGGAUAGGAGCUCCCCCUGCAUGGGGGGGGGUGGAAAGUUUGGGCGGUUGGGGAUGGACUCGCGGCCUAUCAGCUUGUUGGUGGGGUAGUGGCUUACCAAGGCUGUGACGGGUAGCCGGCCUGAGAGGGUGGACGGCCACAUUGGGACUGAGAUACGGCCCAGACUCCUACGGGAGGCAGCAGUGGGGAAUAUUGCACAAUGGGCGGAAGCCUGAUGCAGCAACGCCGCGUGCGGGAUGACGGCCUUCGGGUUGUAAACCGCUUUCGCCUUUGACGAAGCUUGAGUGACGGUAAUUGGUGAAGAAGCACCGGCUAACUACGUG